rnacentral:tRNA from 1 species
GGGUCGGUGGCAGAGUGGUCAAUUGCACCUGACUGUAAAUCAGGCGCCCUCCGGGCUACGGCGGUUCAAAUCCGUCCCGGCCCA